UACCGCGUGAGGGAGGAAGGCUCUUGGGUUGUAAACCUCUUUUAUCAGGGAAGAAAGAAUGACGGUACCUGAUGAAUCAGCAUCGGCUAACUCCGUGCCAGCAGCCGCGGUAAUACGGGGGAUGCAAGCGUUAUCCGGAAUUAUUGGGCGUAAAGCGUCCGUAGGUGGCUUAUCAAGUCUGCUGUUAAAGAAUGCGGCUCAACCGCAUAUGGGCAGUGGAAACUGAUGAGCUAGAGUGCGAUAGGGGUUACAGGAAUUCCCAGUGUAGCGGUGAAAUGCGUAGAUAUUGGGAAGAACACCAGCGGCGAAAGCGUGUGACUGGGUCUGCACUGACACUGAGGGACGAAAGCUAGGGGAGCGAAAGGGAUUAGAUACCCCUGUAGUCCUAGCCGUAAACGAUGACAACUAGGUGUGGUUCGUAUCGACCCGAGCCGUGCCGUAGCCAACGCGUUAAGUUGUCCGCCUGGGGAGUACGCACGCAAGUGUGAAACUCAAAGGAAUUGACGGGGGCCCGCACAAGCGGUGGAGUAUGUGGUUUAAUUCGAUGCAACGCGAAGAACCUUACCAAGGCUUGACAUCCUGCGAAUCUCCUUGAAAGGGGAGAGUGCCUUCGGGAGCGCAGAGACAGGUGGUGCAUGGCUGUCGUCAGCUCGUGUCGUGAGAUGUUGGGUUAAGUCCCGCAACGAGCGCAACCCACGUUUUUAGUUGCCAUCAUUCAGUUGGGCACUCUAGAGAGACUGCCGGUGACAAACCGGAGGAAGGUGUGGAUGACGUCAAGUCAGCAUGCCCCAUACGCCUUGGGCUACACACGUACUACAAUGCGUUGGACAGAGGGUCGCAAGCGUGCGAGCGCAAGCCAAUCUCGUAAACCAACGCUCAGUUCAGAUUGCAGGCUGCAACUCGCCUGCAUGAAGGCGGAAUCGCUAGUAAUCGCAGGUCAGCAUACUGCGGUGAAUGCGUUCCCGGGCCUUGUACACACCGCCCGUCACACCAUGGGAGUUGGUCAUGCCCGAAGUCGUUACUCUAACCGUUCGCGGA
rnacentral:rRNA from 1 species